rnacentral:rRNA from 1 species
CAGCCGCCACGGGAAUACGGAGGGUGCAAGCGUUAUCCGGAUUUAUUGGGUUUAAAGGGUCCGUAGGCGGAUCUGUAAGUCAGUGGUGAAAUCUCACAGCUUAACUGUGAAACUGCCAUUGAUACUGCAGGUCUUGAGUAAAUUUGAAGUGGCUGGAAUAAGUAGUGUAGCGGUGAAAUGCAUAGAUAUUACUUAGAACACCAAUUGCGAAGGCAGGUCACUAAGAUUUAACUGACGCUGAUGGACGAAAGCGUGGGGAGCGAACAGGAUUAGAUACCCGAGUAGUCCCUGUCUCUUAUAC